rnacentral:rRNA from 1 species
UACGAGGGGGGCAAGUGUUGUUCGGAAUCACUGGGCGUAAAGGGCGCGUAGGCGGGUUUCUAAGUCAGGUGUUUAAUCCCGGGGCCCAACCCCGGACAGGCACUUGAAACUGGGAAUCUUGAAUAGGGGAGAGGUCAGUGGAAUUGGAGGUGUAGCGGUGGAAUGCGUAGAGAUCUCCAAGAACACCAGUUGCGAAGGCGGCUGACUGGACCGAUAUUGACGCUGAGGCUCGAAAGCAUGGGGAGCAAACAGG